AAGGCUUUCUGGCUUCCCUCGGCUGUGCGGGUAAUCUGCGGAGCGAGGUGAGUGCGAGGGUGUAGCCUUUGGGCUUCGAUGCCUUCCAGGCCCCUCUGAUGGGGCGCAAUCCUCGCGUACACUCUACCCUGCACCCUUCUCUCGGAGUCAGCUUGGGGAGAGCCUGAAGCAGUGCCCAGACCACUUGGCAGGUGACCUCCAGGCUGAGAACCGCUGCUCUAGAGCAAUAUGGAAAGAUUUCCUGUGUGCAGUAUCCUCCAUGAAAUGAUCAGGCUGCUGAACUGAACAGAAACUUCAGGUCUGUGCCACGGACUUCAUCUGCUAACGAACUGGCGUAUCCGCACUGCCGUGGAACGUCUGCAGUGUUGGAGCAGCACUGUUACAGCAGUAAAAACUAUUCGGCUUUCUGUAGGGACUGGGUAAAUAAAUCCUGGUGUGUUCUUGUGAUGAAACUUCACAUACUUCAUAGGAAGAAUGGAGGGCAGCAAUGUUACCACUGUGAAAUCCUCCUUGAGAAGUACUUUAAGUGAGAAUGAGAAAUUUGUAUGCAACAUAUUCCUACUGGGUUUAAAAACUAAGACUCCUGGGGAAGACUACAAACUAUUGUACAACUGGUGCCCAUUUCUCGAAGUGACACUUCUGAAGCACCAAGCGUUGGCUCAGAUCAGUGAACCCCUUGACUUCUGGUCUGUUACUUAGAUUCUAAUAGUUUACAUAUUUCAAUUUUUGCUUAUAAUUACACAAAUUACUAUCGCAGAUGAGAGAGAAACGAUCCUAGAUUGAUUGCGUUUCACUCCAGGCUCAGGCAAGUUGUAAGGCUUCCUUAAUUGUCAUCUAAACACACUUUUAAUUGUGACUUAACUCCGGAAAAUAAGAUUCUUUGGAAUUGGAGAAAUUCCCUUGAUUUAUGCAUAGAGUUUUCAUGUGCCCUUUGAAAUGCCUUAUUCAAAUUAGUAAGUAAUCAAAUUGCCAAGUUAUGUUUAUAUAACUUGUAGUUCUAAUUAGUUUAGGAUGUAGCUCAUUUGUGUGAUGCCACUGUACAAGCCAAAAGUAGUGUUGUAAUUUUUAAUUAAAUGGUUGCCUCAGA
rnacentral:lncRNA from 1 species